GAUCUAGCCAGGCAGUGGUGGCACACGUACAGACACACAAUUCUAGGUAUACCUUAUUCUAGCAUAGCUAAUUAGAACGGUAUUUUUCACUCUGACACGAGCAUUAACUUAAACCUUUCUAUUCUUGCUAUUCAGUCUAAAUCUAGUUGUCUCUGACGACAUUGAAUAGAAUUACAGAGCUUUCCUCGUGUAAAGUAUAUCAUCAUGCAAUCUCUGAUCUAUAAGUUUUGAAAAUGUAAAAAGUCUUAGCAUUAACUGUGUUUAAUUUGUCAUAAAUAGGAGCUUAAAGGAUGUGGGAUCAAGGAGGGCAGCCGUGGCAGCAAUGGCCCUUGAACCAGCAACAGUGGAUGCAGUCAUUUCAGCACCAGCAAGAUCCAAGCCAGAUUGACUGGGCUGCUUUGGCCCAGGCUUGGAUUGCACAAAGAGAAGCCUCAGGACAGCAAAGCAUCGUAGAACAACCUCCAGGAAUGAUGCCAAAUGGACAGGAUAUGUCUGCAAUGGAGUCUGGUCCAAAUAAUCAUGGGAAUUUUCAAGGGGAUUCAAAUUUUAACAGAAUGUGGCAACCAGAAUGGGGAAUGCAUCAGCAGCCCCCACACCCCCCUCCAGAGCAGCCAUGGAUGCCACCAGCACCAGGCCCAAUGGACAUUGUUCCUCCUUCUGAAGACAGCAACAGUCAGGACAGUGGG
rnacentral:lncRNA from 1 species